rnacentral:rRNA from 1 species
GGGUGCGAUCAUAGCAGCACUAAUGCACCAGAUCCCAUCAAAACUCCGCAGUUAAGCAUGCUCGGGUGAGAGAAACUUUAAGAUGGGUGACCUCCUGGGAAGUUAGAUUGUGUCAUGCA